UACAGAGGGUGCAAGCGUUGUUCGGAAUUACUGGGCGUAAAGCGUGCGUAGUCGGUAUUGAGAGUCGCGGGUGAAAUCCCAGGGCUUAACCCUGGAACUGCCUGCGAGACCUCAGUACUAGAGUGUGAGAGGGGAUAGUGGAAUACCCAGUGUAGCGGUGAAAUGCGUAGAGAUUGGGUGGAACACCGGUGGCGAAGGCGGCUAUCUGGCUCACAACUGACGAUCAGGCACGGAAAAGCGUGGGGAGCAAACAGG
rnacentral:rRNA from 1 species